GUUUGGGCACCUGAGACAAGCUGGCAGUCACUAAAUCUCAGCGAUCACUCAAUGUGUGCCAGGCAUUCGCACACAAUAUCACUAACACCCAUGACAGUCCUUCAAGAGAGGUUCUGCUGUCUGAGAGAUUAUGUGACACGCCUAAGGUCACAGGAUCAGCAAAUACUAGGGCUGAGAUUUAAACCCAGAACUGUCUACUGCCAAAGCUUUUGCGCUCUCCCUCGUGCCACGUUGCUUCUCAUUUUGGGCUUGGUCUCCACUUCCCAGUCCUUGAAGGAGUUCUCCAGGUCUGCCCCAUUAGCACUGCAUCUCAGAAGGAAGCUGCAGCUGCGCCGCCAAUCUCCCGGUGGUAGGUGCUUAAUAAACAUUAUGAAGUGCAUGAACAAAUGAAUAGCCCCUGAUGGACAGACAUGCUUGAGAAACACUAUUUUUCACAUUCCUAUCUACACUCAAGAUUUUACCUAUGAUAGCAGGCUGAAGAUUCCCAGGAUCUUACAUCCUAGCAGAAAUGGAGUCUCUCUAUGUUGCCCAGGUUGAUGUUGAACUCCUGGCCUUAAACGAAGCUCCCACCUCAGCCUCCCAUGUUGCUGGGAUUACAGGCAUGAGCCAUCACAUCCAGCUAAGUCUGCAUUGUUUUCAGCCACCAUGUGAGUAUCACUUUGUUACAGGAGUAAUAGAAAACCAAUGCACUGAGUGAUGAUAUUGAUUGUAAGCAGGGAAGGUCCCUUUAGAGGUCUCACAAAAUGUAACAGUGUAAUGAAAUGCGAAAAAGCAAGAACUAACCUUAAAAGAGCUGAGAGAAGAUUCCAGAAGAAGAAAGAGCUGGUAUUG
rnacentral:lncRNA from 10 species